GUCCUAGCCGUAAACGGUGAGCACUAGGUGUUGGAGGCAUUGACCCCUCCAGUGCCGCAGCUAACGCAAUAAGUGCUCCGCCUGGGGAGUACGGCCGCAAGGUUGAAACUCAAAGGAAUUGACGGGGGCCCGCACAAGCGGUGGAGCAUGUGGUUUAAUUCGACGCAACGCGAAGAACCUUACCCAGACUUGACAUGCAUUGGACCGGUGUGGAAACACACCUUCCCUUCGGGGCCGAUGCACAGGUGCUGCAUGGCUGUCGU
rnacentral:rRNA from 1 species